AGCAAAGAAAUCUUUUCUCAAUAUAUGACUCUCCUCAGAUGUGCUCCUCUGUGAAAUGGGCACAUGAUGACCUCAUGAACCACCCUUUAGACUUCCAGUGCUUCUGGCUUUAAUAUUCCAUGCUAGAUUCACAGAGCUCUUCUACAGAUGCUAAGCGUUCAAUCCUGAAGGCUCCACUUCAUCAUCAGCUUGGACAAGAAGUUCAUCCCAUUCAGAGCUGCCAUCUGGGUAGGACUACAUGAGUCCUUAUCCUGUACAGCAACUCACAUCACUACAAGCAAGACUUUUGUAGACAUAGACAAACAUCACAGCCUCAGAGGCUGCCUCUUUCUCAGUCCUGCUGCCUUUGGAUGACCUCUGGAAGGAAAGAAGGGACUGUCUGCCAAGAAGGAGACAACUGGAAGAUACUAGGAGGCUGUGACAGCACGUACUUCAGCACAGGCUGCACCAGCCUGCAGACCACCUGGGUACUUUCUUGAGUAUCUGCCAUCCGCUGAAGCAUGUGUUGCUGCAGCUUUAUUCGUACAUAGCUGUAUCUCCUGCAAGUAUCAUUGCCCAAACCACUGCAGGCAUGAUGUUAUGCCACCCGAUGUUUUAGAACUGUUUCACAACUAAAGUUUCAUCCUGCACAGGUGGAGAAAAAUGAACCAGUAUAGCUCUGUGUUCUGGCAAUGGACAGUCUCUUUUUAAUUAAAGAACAAACUUUGAGAUAUUUCCACUAUGACUGUAUCUUAAUGGAGUGGUAACAAUGCCUGAGGAGUAAUGCAUUUUGGAGUUGCUGUUGAGUGUGUUUGUUGGUACUUCCCAGGGUUAAUACCUUGAGUGUGGCAGCAGAUUAAUAUUUCUCCUGCAACAGCAUGGUUCAGUUUUAAAUGGAGUAAUUUAAAACAAGAUAUUAACAAUAUCUUUAGAUUUUUUUUUACACGACAAUUUGUUUUGGUAUAAAGACAUACAAAACCCUACUUGCAGAUCUCUACUGAGCUUCUCAAAUGGAGAGCAGACUUUCUGAGUCUUUAUCUUCAUUGACUCUUUAGUUUUUGGAUUCAGAAGUAUAAUUUUACUGAAAGACGAAUUUAAUUGCCCUGAGAUCUGGUUUCUGUCAGCCCAUUUGGCAUGCUCAGGGGAGCAAUUUUGGAGUGAUCUCCCAGUCGUUAGGUCCAUAUCUCAAAGCAGUCAUGGGGUCCACAUGUCAAAUUUCUUCUGGAUGGAAGGAAAUCAGAGGAGCUCUUGGAUUGAUUCUGGGUUUCCACUCCCAGAAACAAGCUGGAACAAGUCCAAUGCAACCCCCUCCCCCAGGGUGAGUAUGAAGUGGAUUUCAGGUUCUCAGCAAGAAUUGUUUUGAUCUAUAAAUCCAUUCCUAUUUGCCUAUACUGAUCAAUAAGGUAGAUAUAGGAACAGUUAAAGAAAAGACAAAUACCUUAAUUUCAGUUUGAGACAGUCUGGAAGUCCAAAUAAAAAAUAUUACGCAGAGAUAAAACACUGCUCCAACUUUUGAUGAAGUUUAAACUUACGUCAGAUCAUUGCUAUCUUUUAAGAAAGUAGUUAUGUUAUGCAAUUUUCCUAAACCACACACUAAUGAUGAUAGUGUAUUGUUCUCAUCUUAUUAAGCUAAACAAUCCCUCUACCUUCAUAACAUUUAAAUAGAGAUUUAGAUCAUUCUGGAUACCUGAUCACUGUGCACUUCAGAUGUUUAACAAAUGUUAUGAGCAUAAGUGUGCAUCUCAAAUGUAUAUUUAUAUUGUUGUGCAUAGAGUAAUGUGUCUUCUGGGUCCUAUUGUAAACAAGCUGUCAAGCUUAACUGGGUUAGCCUGUAAAAAUAUCUUUCCAUAAAUAAAUUGAAAAAAACCCCCAACACUCAAGCAGCCUCUUCUAAAUGGGCUUGA